GACUCGGUGGCGGAUGGCCUCCCGCGCUCGAUAAUCCAUCGAUGACUUCAUCUGGCGGGAGGCGCCUGUUCGAACCAGGCCCGAGUCA